GUUGGCACAGCAUUGACUAGAAGGGUGAGGGUGUGUGUGCGGAGAGACCGUGUGAGCUUGCGGACCCUCGUGUGCAUCAGCAAAAAGGCUGUAUCUUUCCAUUCACCUUCACAGCCUGAUCACACUGCAGCACCAGAGUUUUCACAUCAUUUGGACGUGUGCUGCACCCUAAAGUCACACAACAAGCCAAGGAAUACAAGAGCAUCUACAGCAUGCCCUGGAUGUUUGUGGACUGGUUCGUUCCCGUCUAUCUGCUGGUUUCAGUCCUGGUGCUGGCCGGCUUUGGGGCCUGUCUAUAUUUCCUGGAGCCCGGCCUUCAGGACGCUCACAAAUGGAGCAACAAGUCCAUAAAGCGGCAACCCCUGGCACCAACACUGCAAGCCCACCGAGAUGACGACAGCAGCGCACUUAUAUGACAGGAUGCAUGGAGGUGCACAAGAAGUGGCCUCCUCAUGUUGGCCUUACAUCAACAAGCAGCCAACACUUUUGGAUUUGUAAACACUCGAAUUCCACCAAAAUUGUGUACAUGUUCUAUUCUAUCGAGAGCUUUUUGACAGGCUGAGUUUCAGUUGAUUAAGAAGCUGAGAAAGAGCAUCUGUUGAGGAGAAUCUCAGUAGAGUAGGCAGUUAGUUAUUAUGCUAGUUUGCUCAAGCUACCAGUUUCAUUGGAGUUUGUGCUCUCGAAGUAGGGCUAUUUUCAGAAAUUUGACUUCUGACAGAAAAUUUGCCAACUGGCAGGAUGUGGCAACAUGGCAACAUGUGGUGACCGCUGAGGACCAAUAAAGUGGACUGGCCUAAUGAUGUGGAAGCAGUGUCCUUUCAAGUAUUAAUUAGCAGGAUGUGUUUAUGGACAGACAGUAAAACACCUGGAAGAUAAAACACCAUGUCAGGAAUGGCUGGAUUUGUGGUAGUAUGUGUUUGUCUUUUAAUCACGAAGGUUUGCACCAGUUAGUUUAGUCUGGCACUUGCUCUACUGAUGAUCUACACUAUCAUUCAGAAGUCUGGAAUCAGUGUUUCCAAUAAUAUAAGAGUAUGGUGGCAAUGUAUAAAACAAUCCUAUUACACUAGUUAUGGGAUUCUUAUAUACUAGCUAUGUUCACAAGUUUAUAUAAUAGCACAUAAUUCAUGAAUAAAUAAAGAAGAGAUGUGCCCCAAGGUGAUGCACAAAACUGUAGAUCAGUCUCAAAUGUCUGCAUAUAAUUAAAUUAUAAUUUUAUUAUAUAAUUUUAUUAUAUAAUUUUAUAACAUAAUUUCUAAUACCUGCACUCACACUGCAACCACGUUUCAAAGCAGAUUACUAUCCUUGAACAAUGUUGCCAUUUGUUAUUGACAGAAUACAUGCAAUAAUGAGCCCAUCAUCAAAAAAUAAAAUUUGAUGUCUAGUUGAGAAAUUUGUUGUCUAAUUUUGACAUUUAAACCUGCAUUGUCAAUCAACCUAUAUUUAAACUCAGAGUACUCUGUCACUGUAUAUUUUCAAAAAAAAACAAGCAAUUCAAAAGAGAAAUUAUAAAUUUAUGAUAGUAAAGAUUCAACAAAGAAAAUAAAACAAGACCAAAAAUCCUUUUUAAAACAAUACAUAAAUAAUUAGGACACUUUAAGACAAAGAUUAACAAAUCAAAACAAGUUAAACUUCAGACACAAAUCAGUAAAAAUCAGAUUAGAAAUUAAAAUAAGUGAAAUCAAUUAAAUCAAUAUAAUAAUAACAACAACAAUAAUAAAAGCCAAGAAAACAACAAAAAAGCAAACAAAAAAACUAAAUAACCAACAGUUGCAGGCUGAAUGGAUUAUAGAAGUUGUUAUUGUGCAUAACAGAGCAAAAAUUAUUUCUAUGAAAAGUGAUUUGAACUUUUAAUUGGCAGUGUAGGUUUAAGGUAAAUUCCACUAGUGACCAAACUUUACACCUUUGCUACACAGCUAGUGAAGUGCCAACAUUUGCCAUGAACCUACUUUUCUCUAAAAUGUAAUAUUAGACAUGUAAAGAUAUGUAGGUUUAUGAUCAAUAUGGUUCUAACUGUCCAGUACUGUAUAAUAUGGUAAUCUUUGUCUAAUAUUACAUUUUAUUUAGAUAAAUGUUUGUCUUUUAUCUGCAGUAAUAGAGAAAAUAAGGAGGGGCCAAAUUUUUCAUGGCACUGUUUUAUAUCUACUUCAUGAAUUAAAACCAGAUGCUUUUUUUCAGUUGAGUUCAGAGUCAUAAACCAAUCUUACUGAAUCCAAUUAAGUGAAGAGGAAAUCUGAUCUGAGUGUCACAGCUUGCUGUCUGGACAGAGACUUAGAUGUGUUUCUCCUUUAUUUUAGAUGUCAGUCUUGUAUGUGUCUGAAUAUGUUGGCAUUUUUUCAGUGACAGUAAUCCUGUGAACUGUGAAAAUACAAUGUCUUUUUGCUACUCUUGCCCAAAUUGUGCCAAAUAUGCCUGUAAAUAUGUUACAUUUUGAUUCUGGAUGUUACAACAGUUGAUUUUUUUUUCCACAUUCAGUUGUUCAUUCUGUUUCUCCUAAGUGAGAUACUUGUUUGGUGAAUUGUGGUGGAAAGCACUUUUUUAUAGAUGGUUAAUUUAUGAUUUGAAUGUUCUCACAAAAUAAAUGCACUAUGUGAAUAAAUGUGUCAUAUUUUAGACAUGCUGCUUUGUUGCACCAAAAAUGUUCAUGAUUCGUUUUUAAGCGGUCAUUUUCCAACCUGUUUUUGCAUUGAUCACUUUGAAUUAAACAGCCUUUUUAUCAC